rnacentral:lncRNA from 1 species
CACGAUUAAAAUAGACCAAAAGAAAAGAAAGAAAAGAAAACCUUUCUAUGUACAGAUUCUAAAUCGUACUCCCCAUACAGUCAGAGGCAGGGAGUCGAGGGCAGAGGCAGCAGGCGGAGAGAGGGAGAUAGGGCGAGGGAAGGAGAACGCGGAGAGAGACGAAGGGAGUGGGAGACCAGCGACAGCGAGCGCCAGGGCACCGCAGGCACACUGGAUGCCCGGUCCGCCGGCCCAGCCGCCCUCGGACCCUGGACCGUGCGUCGUGGGCACCAGAAACGAGACUCGGCCAAAUCCUGCCUCACCAGCAGGUAGAUGAAACUCAAGAGAAAAGGUGUGGAUAAAUGAAACUAGCCCAUGAUGAACCUGUUUUCUCCGUGACCACAAUAUUAACCAGGAUGAUGGCGGUGGCAGUGGGCCUGCAUCACAGGUUGCAGCAGAUGUUCUCAAUAUUUCUAUUAAAAUUUCCUUAUUUCCAUAUGCAAGAGGAGCCCCAGAGCUGCAUCCUUAUGGUAGCUACCAUGCCGUGAUGUAAGCUGCCAUUCACUGGGGAGCUUUGGCAAUAGAAUUGGCUAGAUCAGCAAGCCCAUGUCAACUAUGGAACAACAACUUGCAGCUCAUCUCUAUUGAUGGUGAAACAGUCGCAAAUGGAAUUUCAAGAAACAUUCUAUAUACACUGCCUCUAGGACUGGGACAGAUAGCCACUGAGUACCUGCUUCAAAUCACCCUGCACGUUUUCUCUUUGGAAAGAUAAGCACUGGAGAACCAUCUCGUUACCUUCAGCAAAAAUGGAAACAAAUCAAGACAUUAAGAAUGCCACAGUGGACAGCAGUUAUGCAAGGUUCAGCAGAGGAAGUUUUCAAGAUGGUGUGCCUCACUAGCCAGAAAUCAGAAAAGAUCGAAGCUAGCCUUUUCAUCUCAGCUGCUCCUUAAAUCAGUGCAACCCCUCCAAAUUAAUGUGAAUUGAAACAUGCAUUGCUUUUCAACUUAAUUGAAUACUUACUAUAUGUGAACCACUGCACAAAAUAGGGGAAGAAGAUGUGGGAGACAAAGAUGUG